AUUGAACGCUGGCGGCAUGCCUUACACAUGCAAGUCGAACGGCAGCACGGGAGCAAUCCUGGUGGCGAGUGGCGAACGGGUGAGUAAAGUAUCGGAACGUGCCCAGUCGUGGGGGAUGACGUAGCGAAAGUUACGCUAAUACCGCAUACGAUCUAUGGAUGAAAGCGGGGGAUCGCAAGACUUCGCGCGAUUGGAGCGGCCGAUAUCAGAUUAGGUAGUUGGUGGGGUAAAGGCCCACCAAGCCGACGAUCCGUAGCUGGUCUGAGAGGACGACCAGCCACACUGGGACUGAGACACGGCCCAGACUCCUACGGGAGGCAGCAGUGGGGAAUUUUGGACAAUGGGCGAAAGCCUGAUCCAGCCAUGCCGCGUGCAGGAUGAAGGCCUUCGGGUUGUAAACUGCUUUUGUACGGAACGAAAAGGACUGCCCUAAUACGGUGGUCCCAUGACGGUACCGUAAGAAUAAGCACCGGCUAACUACGUGCCAGCAGCCGCCGUAACAC
rnacentral:rRNA from 1 species